GCCAAGGGCUGUCUGGGUUCAUAUUGGAACGGUGGUUUCUUGAUGCCCGUCCAGAGCUCUUCCGUGCAUGUCUGUGAGUUUUCUCACGAGGCUUUCUCCCCAGGGAGGGAAUCCAUGUCCGAUGUCUGAGUGUUCAUGGGAAAUGCUGCUGAGCCCAGGUUUGGAAAGGGUGACGGUGAAUCUUUGUCUUUAUUGUUAUUGAGAUAGUUCUUAUGUAGUUCAGGUUGUCCUUGAACUGGCUACGCAGUUGAGGGUGCCCUUGAACUUCUGACUUCCUGCCUUUACUCCCCAAGUGCAGGAUUCCACUAUGCAGGUUUAUGUAGUAUUUUUCCAAGGCUUGGUUCAUUCCAAGCAAGUACUCUACUAACAGAGCUAUAUAUCCCGCUCCCAAACAGCGGCUAAACUCAUAAUCUGAGCAAUUUACACCGAGUUGGGAGCAAUUAAAACCAAACUACAGCAGGGUCCACAGACUCUUACCCAAGCUCGAUGAGGGAUUUUUAUUAAAAAAGAAGAAAA
rnacentral:lncRNA from 1 species